rnacentral:rRNA from 1 species
CGGGGUGCAGCAGGCGCGAAAACUUUACAAUGCUGGAAACUGCGAUAGGGGAACUUCGAGUGCCAUCCACCUUGGGUGCCUGUCCAACCGUCUAAAAUACUGUUGUUAGCAAGGGCCGGGAAAGACCGGUGCCACCCCCCUCGUUAAUACCGGUCGCUCGAGUGCUGCUCUAUAUUAUUUAAUCUAAUGGGUCCCUAGCCUGUUUUGCCUCUCCCCUGGGAAAUCCGCUGACUUAACCGUUGGCCUUUCAAGGCAUACUAACUUGCUAGCGACUGAGAUAAGUAGUACUCACUCGGUGGGAAUGAAUUCCUGUAAUCCUUGGGGGACCACCUGUGGCGAAGGCGUCUCACCAGGACGGCUCCGACAGUGAGGGACGAAAGCUGGGGGAGCAAACCGGAUUAAAUACCCGGGUAGUCCCAGCCGUAAACGAUGUGCGUUAGGUGUAUCGGUGACCAUGAGUCACCGAGGUGCCGAACAGAAAUCGUGAAACGUACCGCCUGGGAAGUACGGUCGCAAGGCUGAAACUUAAAGGAAUUGGCUGGGGAGCAC